rnacentral:misc_RNA from 1 species
UUUCCGUAGGUGAACCUGCGGAAGGAUCAUUAUUGUAUAACCGAGGUGCGAGGGCUGUCGCUGACCCGAAAGGUCGUGCACGCCCGAGUGCCCUCACACACAUCCAUCUCACCCCUAUGUGCACCACCGCGUGGGUCCCCCUUUGGCUUGUUCGGAGGGGGGCUUACGUUUUCACACAAACUUUGUAUGCAGUGUAGAAUGUAUUUUUUGUUUUUGCGAUCACGCAAUCAAUACAACUUUCAACAACGGAUCUCUUGGCUCUCGCAUCGUUGAAGAACGCAGC